rnacentral:rRNA from 1 species
GAUGAACGCUGGCGGCGUGCCUAAUACAUGCAAGUCGAGCGAACAGACGAGGAGCUUGCUCCUCUGACGUUAGCGGCGGACGGGUGAGUAACACGUGGAUAACCUACCUAUCAGACUGGGAUAACUUCGGGAAACCGGAGCUAAUAGCGGAUAAUAUCUUGAACCGCAUGGGUGAUUGGUGAAAGACGGUUUUGCUGGCUCUUCUCGCUGGUUCCGCGCCGCAUUAGCUAGUUGGUAAGGUAACGGCUUAUCAAGGCAACGAUGCGUAGCCGACCUGAGAGGGUGAUCGGCCACACUGGAACUGAGACACGGUCCAGACUCCUACGGGAGGCAGCAGUAGGGAAUCGUCCGCAAUGGGCGAAAGCCUGACGGAGCAACGCCGCGUGAGUGAUGAAGGUCUUCGGAUCGUAAAACUCUGUUAUUAGGGAAGAACAAAUGUGUAAGUAACUAUGCACGUCUUGACGGUACCUAAUCAGAAAGCCACGGCUAACUACGUG